CUGGUCCGCGUCAACCGUUCCCAUCCUCUCUCUCUUGCCUCCUUUCCCCAUGGCCCAUGGCAUCUCGCCCCGCCACCCACCGGUCCAUCCUUCGCCCGCCACCGCCAUCUCUCAUCUCCUCUUCCUCCGCCCGCCACCACCAUCUCUCAUCUCCUCUUCCUCUUCCCUCACCGCUCCUCUUCCGCCACCAUCCUCUCUUUGUCCUCCAGAUCUGGCUGGAGCUGCCGCCUCCCUUGUGGCAAGGGCAAUCAGCACAAGCAAGAGUGGCUCCAGGAGGCGCAGGCGGGGGUCUCUACCGGCAGCUGCAUGAGUGCCCCCGGCCCAUUUCGGUGACGGCGCACACCCUACCAGUGACGGUGCGUGGGCCCCCAUACAUCUGGCGGCGGUGAGCAAACUCCCCCUCCCCGCGGUGACCUCUUGCGCGUCAUCCCUUCCUUGUCCUCCUCCAGCGCAGGAGGCGACGGUGAUGCCGGGUGCAGCGCUGCAGCCCCAACACACCCGCCGUCCCCACCCACAGCAUCAUCCUUGUGGGUCCUCCUUUCCUUCUCAUCCUUUCCUUCUCAACUUCUCCUUGCGCUGUUUACAUGAUUUCUUUGUCAGCAUAAAGCCCCUUGAUAGGGUGCUUGCAGAGGUGAAAGGUUGGAGAGCCUAGUGGACUGUGAAUCUAAGUGCUGCUUUACAGGUAGAGAAACUUUUGCUAUUUCAGCUACUUGCCAUGUUUGCACUGAACUUUUCAUUAUCCAUUGUUUCAGCUAGUCAUAACUCUACUUGAGAGAGUGGAGUUCCAGGAAUUCUGUAUAGGAUUUAAGAGUCAUGAGCUAUAUAUCUAAUACUCUGGUUUGUAUGCAUGAUGCUGGAUUUCUUAUUUUUUUCACAAUAAUCCUAUAUUUAGUCUAUUGAAUAGAAUAUUGCUAUGCUUGAUUGCUCCUUAUACAGAUUCAUAAGGACUGCUAUGUUGUCUGUGUUCUCCAUCUCAGUUUGCAGCUUGUAGCUUUGUGAGUGUGAGGUAGGCCACAUGUUUGUGAUGGUCAAAUUACUUUGUAGAAUCUGUUCAAGCUAUUAUCAUUUAAUGAAAAGUCUUAUGGCUAGUAAACCUUACAUGUUGGUAGUGGAUUCUGACUACCCUUCAAGGUACGUUUUUAAUAUUCCAAAAUUGAUUGAUCUAUCGGUUCCUAUUAUCGUUUGUGGCUGAAAUGUUCUUUUGGGCUAGUUCCUUUCAUGUUCCUUCAGCAUGUCUCUCAAGUGUUAGCACUUCAUUUAAAUUCAUUUUCGAAAAUUAAAAUUAUCUCGUAUAGAUGCCAGAUGCUCCUUAUUUUUAUUAUUCAAUAGAUUCAGUGAUAAGACUGAGUGCUUCUUGUGCAGAUCAAUUAUGAUUUACAUGGAAGUCUAAAGUGCUGCAUCUGCGCUGACCUACAUUGUAAGGCAAUCUGACCUAGAACUGAAUGAAGCUCACAACACAGGCUUUCAGUGUCCAAUCGCUAGCCAUGGUCCUAUCACGUGAGAAGAUGCUGGCCCAUGACCUCACUCUUAUUUUGCAUCUGUAUUUAAUUGAACAUUUUGCUGAGGGAAUUCUGAACAUUUGCUUGACUAGCAUUCGAUUCCGUGCUAAAUUACUCAGUCAUUUUGGCAUGUGUGUAUGUAUGAAUAGAGGAGGAACUAUAUAUUACGUGGCAUUUCUGUUUCUUUUUUUGGUUA